AUACCUUUCUCGGCCUUUUGGCUAAGAUCAAGUGUAGUAUCUGUUCUUAUCAGUUUAAUAUCUGAUAUGUGGGUCAUGUCCCCACAACGAUAUUAAAUUUAUUUUUUAUGGGGGAGGGUCCACCACAGUGGCUUGCCACUGGGGUCGUCUGUUGUCGCCUGGGUGUUGCACUACAGCCCAGGCAGGCGCACCCCAA
rnacentral:snRNA from 16 species